UACGUAGGGUGCAAGCGUUGUCCGGAAUUAUUGGGCGUAAAGGGCGCGUAGGCGGCCUUCUAAGUCGGACGUGAAAUCCCUCGGCUUAACCGAGGAACUGCGUCCGAUACUGAAAGGCUUGAAUCCGGGAGAGGGAUGUGGAAUUCCAGGUGUAGCGGUGAAAUGCGUAGAUAUCUGGAGGAACACCGGUGGCGAAGGCGGCAUCCUGGACCGGCAUUGACGCUGAGGCGCGAAAGCUAGGGGAGCAAACGGG
rnacentral:rRNA from 1 species